rnacentral:rRNA from 1 species
AUGGACGAGUCCGGGGACGCCGGCAGGGGAGGGAGGGGCGGCGGGAGGUCGAGGCAGAAUGGGGGCCGCUCGUCGGUCCGGCUCGGCGUGCGGAUGGAGUUCAGGUUCUCCGGCUUCCACGCCGUUCAGGUACCAGUAGUAUCAGACAGGCUGCUCAUUACAAUCACGUCAGUAGACAGUGGAAAAACAAUUGCCAAGUCAAGUAAAGCGGCUGCUAUUAAUGGAGCCUGUCAAUGGCAUGACUCCAUCCUGCAUGCAAUUCGGUUUCCUAAAGAUGAAGUGUCACAAGAAUUUCAGGAGUGCCAGUGCAAGAUUGUUGUUUCCAUGGGAUCAACAAGAACUGCUGUUCUUGGGGAAGCGUACCUAAAUCUGACGAACUAUCUCAGUUCAUCAGACUCCACUGACAUCUCUUUGCCAUUGAAGAAUUGCAAUUCUGGCACAGUUUUACAGCUUAAGAUUCAAUGUCUUGGCGCAAAAUCUAAAUCAAGUGGGAAAUCAUGGAAAGGGCUAUCUUCUAAUCUUAAGGAGAGUCCAACCAAUGAUGAGAUGGACAAAAAGGCAGACGUCUUUGACAUUCUGUUGAAGUUGAACAAGGGUGCUCAGUCUUUGUCAGAAAAUAAUUUAGAAGCUGAUAAUGCAGAUGAAUCUGGAAAUAGGGAUGCAAGUUUCUCAGAAUCAAAGUCUCAUGGUGAUGAUUCAUCCAAAAAUCACCUUGACACCGCCGAAGAAAAACUUGAGGAGUUACGUAACGCGGCAAAAGUGUGGGAGAGACAUUCUCGCAAGUUGAAAAUUGAACGGAAGACAUUGAAGAAUGAGUGUGCUGACAAAUCCAAGCAGCAGGCUGAGCUAGAACGGCAACUUUCUGCUUCACUUUCUGAACAGGAUUCCUUGAGGCAAGAAAUUGAACAAGUAACAGCCCAACUGAACAAGACUCAAGAGACCAAUAUAGAGCUUGUUUCCAUUCUCCAAGAACUGGAAGAAACGAUAGAACUGCAGAGAGUGGAAAUGUCCAAACUUCCCCAAGUGAGUGAUGUGGCUGAUCACGAGGUCUCCAAAAGUGAAUCGACAGUUCAAGAAGCUGCAGAAUGGGCUAGAAUACUGUCACAAAAAGAAGAUGAAAUCACAGUGUUGAGGGAGAAACUGAACCGUGUUCUCAAAAUGGAGAAUGCAGAUGGUGCAGGCCCAGAUGUUAUUUAUCUUGAAUUGGAAAAAGAAAAUGAUUUUUUGAAGGUCAAAAUACAGGAGCUUGAGAAUGACUUUUCUGAAUUAACGGAGGAAAAUUUCGGGCUUAUAUACAAGUUGAAAGAAGCGAGUGGGGUGGCGAAAGAAGAGGAUCCCUGCAUUUCUAAUAGUGAAGAAAUGCCCACCGUGGGGAGCCCAACAUAUAAGAUAAAACACCUAGAGAGAAAAUGUGCUGACCUUGAGUUGAAUCUGGAGAAUUUUAGGUCCAAGUUCAGUGGGCUAGAAGAGAAGUUCCAGAAAAGCCAAGAGGAGUUAAAAGAGAGAACACUUGAAUUAUCUGAGCUGAGGGAAAAGCUCUCCCAUGCCACUGAACUGGAAGGGGCUGACACUGGUAGUUCAAGACAUUAUAGACUGAGAAGUGGAGAACCUGAUGAUACUGAAACUGACUUAGAUGUGUUGAAGCGUACAGUUCAGCUGAAAGAACAAGAGAUCGAUGGUUUGCAACACUGUACGAGAGAAAUGGAGAACACCAUUGCUGAUAUUCAGAAAGAGAAGAGUCAGUUAGAGGAACGUUUGGCAGCAUCACUUCAAGAAAGUAGCAUGACUUCAAAAUGCUUGGUUGAAGCGCAUGAAGAUCUCGUGCUUACCAGCAGUGUAGAUUCCCAUGUUUCUUCCAAUGAGGUCCUCGAAACAAAGAUCAGUGAGCUUGAGCGUACAGUUCAGCUGAAAGAACAAGAGAUCGAUGAUUUGCAACACUGUACGAGAGAAAUGGAGAACACCAUUGCUGAUAUUCAGAAAGAGAAGAGUCAGUUAGAGGAACGUUUGGCAGCAUCACUUCAAGAAAGUAGCAUGACUUCAAAAUGCUUGGUUGAAGCGCAUGAAGAUCUCGUGCUUACCAGCAGUGUAGAUUCCCAUGUUUCUUCCAACGAGGUCCUCGAAACGAAGACCAGUGAGCUUGAGCGUACAGUUCAGCUGAAAGAACAAGAGAUCGAUGGUUUGCAACAUUGUACGAGAGAAAUGGAGAACACCAUUGCUGAUAUUCAGAAAGAGAAGAGUCAGUUAGAGGAACGUUUGGCAGCAUCACUUCAAGAAAGUAGCAUGACUUCAAAAUGCUUGGUUGAAGCGCAUGAAGAUCUCGUGCUUACCAGCAGUGUAGAUUCCCAUGUUUCUUCCAAUGAGGUCCUCGAAACAAAGAUCAGUGAGCUUGAGCGUACAGUUCAGCUGAAAGAACAAGAGAUCGAUGGUUUGCAACACUGUGCAAGAGAAAUGGAGAACACCAUUGCUGAUAUUCAGAAGGAGAAGAGUCAGUUAGAGGAACGUUUGGCAGCAUCACUUCAAGAAAGUAGCAUGACUUCAAAAUGCUUGGUUGAAGCGCAUGAAGAUCUCGUGCUUACCAGCAGUGUAGAUUCCCAUGUUUCUUCCAACGAGGUCCUCGAAACGAAGACCAGUGAGCUUGAGCGUACAGUUCAGCUGAAAGAACAAGAGAUCGAUGGUUUGCAACAUUGUACGAGAGAAAUGGAGAACACCAUUGCUGAUAUUCAGAAAGAGAAGAGUCAGUUAGAGGAACGUUUGGCAGCAUCACUUCAAGAAAGUAGCAUGACUUCAAAAUGCUUGGUUGAAGCGCAUGAAGAUCUCGUGCUUACCAGCAGUGUAGAUUCCCAUGUUUCUUCCAAUGAGGUCCUCGAAACAAAGAUCAGUGAGCUUGAGCGUACAGUUCAGCUGAAAGAACAAGAGAUCGAUGNNNNNNNNNNNNNNNNNNNNNNNNNNNNNNNNNNNNNNNNNNNNNNNNNNNNNNNNNNNNNNNNNNNNNNNNNNNNNNNNNNNNNNNNNNNNNNNNNNNNUAGCAUGACUUCAAAAUGGUUGGAUGAAGCGCGGGAAGAUCUCCUUGUGCUUAGCAGCAGUGUAGAUUCCCAUGUUUCUGCCAAUGGGGUUCUCGAAACAAAGAUCAAUGAGCUUGUGCAUACAGUUAUGCUGAAAGAACAGGAGAUCAAUGGUCUGCAACAUUGUACGACAGAAAUGGAGAACACUAUUUCUGAUAUUCAGAAGGAGAAGGAUCAGCUAGAGGAACGUUUGGCAGCAUCACUUGAAGAAAGUAGCAUGACAUCAAAAUGCUUGGAUGAAGCGCGAGAAGAUCUCCUUGUGCUUACCAGUAGCGUAGAUUCUCAUGCUUCUGCCAAUAAGGUUCUCGAAAGAAAGAUUAGCGAGCUUGAAAGCCGCGAAGUUGAACUAGAGUUGCUUGUAACAAAGCUGGAACAAGAGAAUAUUGAGUUUUCCGAGUUCAUAUCUGAACUAGAGUCUCAGUUGACUUCUCUCACAAGUGAAGAGGAGGCAACCAGGCUAGAAAUGGAUUAUUCUAUAUCACUUAUCGCAAAUCUUAAGGAUUUAGUAGAACAGCAGCAAGCAGAGAUGGAAGCUCAAAAGCUGGAAAUGAAGCAAAAGCAUUUGGAGUCCCAAACUAGAUUGUCAGAAGUACAAGAGGAUUCGGAGGCUCUAAGAAGAUCAAAUGCAAAACUACAGGCCACAAUUGAUAGUGUUGCUGAAGAAUGCAGUUCUCUUCAGACUCUAACAGCUGACCUAAAGAAGCAGAAGCUGGAAUUACAUGACCAUUGUGCACAGCUGGAGCAGCAAUUAGAUCAAUCAAAAAGGAAGACAAUGGAUUUGUUCGAAACAGCAGAGUUCCUAGAGGCAAAACUCUCUACGCUUCAAAAAGAGGUAACUUUAAAAGAGCAAUCUUUGCUUUCAGAGCUGGAGAAUAUAUUCCAGGAGCACAAGGAACACGAAGAAAGGAUAAAUAGUGCACAUUUCCUUUUAAACAAGAUAGAGAACGAAAAGAUUGGUGAAGUGAAGAAUCUUGAGAGGGAGGUCAUGAGCCUUACUGCACAGCUGUCCUCCACAGACGGGGAGAAAGACAGUGCCGCCUUGGAUAGCAUACAUGAGGUCUCCAUCCUGCGAGCAGACAAGGCCAAACUUGAGGCUAACCUUGAAGAUGUCAGUGCACAAAUGAGACAUUAUCAGUCUCAGUUGGAAGAUCUUCGUACAGAGUCUAAAACCAAAAUUAAAGGCCUGAUUGAUUCGCUUAACGCAUCCAAACAUAAUGAGGAAACGCUGACAACAGAUGUUGAGCAUAUGACAAGAUUGAUGGAAGCUGCUAGAUCCAAUGAAGAAAACUUAAGGAAAACUUCAGACGAACUAGAGUUGAAGUAUAAAUCCAGUGAUUAUGAGAAACAGGAAGUAAUGGAGGAAAUUUCUGGACUAAAAAUCCAGGUUAGCAAAAUGGCAAGCAUCCAAGAUGAAGUUUUCAAACUACAAAGUUCUCUUGAUCAGGCUAAGUUUGAAAAGACAAAAUUAGAAGAGCGUCUGCAGUCACUAUCUGAAGAAUGUGAAGAACUAAAGGUGCAGAAGGCCAUGUUAACAGACCAAGUCUCUUGUAUCCAGAGUACUUUGCAUGAUGCCGAUGAAGAAAAUCGUCGUAAAUCCACUCAAGCAAAGCUUGUAGUAAAUAAGGGUAAUGACGACGCUGCUAAUGACAAUGGAGGUACUCAUGUUAAUGAAGAUCUAGACAUUCACUCAAAGCUAGAAUUACUGGAGACUAGACUUGCUGAUGCAUUGGAGGAAAAUAAAUCAUAUAGGGCGCAGCUGCAAAGUCCAACGGGAGAGGGACAACUCGGUAGCAGGGAUGAAAAGGAUAACAAGGAUGGGAACAGGAUAGCACAACUGGAGUCAGAGCUAAAAGAUAUGCAGGAUCGGUUACUCAACGUGAGCAUGCAAUAUGCAGAAGUGGAGGCUCAACGAGAAGAACUAGUUAUGGAGUUGAAAAGUGCAACUGCAAGGAAGGGACGAUGGUUCUAG